GACGAACGCUGGCGGCGUGCUUAACACAUGCAAGUCGAACGGAAAGGCCCUGCUUUUGUGGGGUGCUCGAGUGGCGAACGGGUGAGUAACACGUGAGUAACCUGCCCUUGACUUUGGGAUAACUUCAGGAAACUGGGGCUAAUACCGGAUAGGAGCUCCUGCUGCAUGGUGGGGGUUGGAAAGUUUCGGCGGUUGGGGAUGGACUCGCGGCUUAUCAGCUUGUUGGUGGGGUAGUGGCUUACCAAGGCUUUGACGGGUAGCCGGCCUGAGAGGGUGACCGGCCACAUUGGGACUGAGAUACGGCCCAGACUCCUACGGGAGGCAGCAGUGGGGAAUAUUGCACAAUGGGCGGAAGCCUGAUGCAGCAACGCCGCGUGGGGGAUGACGGCCUUCGGGUUGUAAACCGCUUUCGCCUGUGACGAAGCGUGAGUGACGGUAAUGGGUAAAGAAGCGCCGGCUAACUACGUG
rnacentral:rRNA from 1 species